CUGCCGGGAACUUCGCGAGCCUCGCGUGCUUUUGUUCCUGACGUUAUACCUGAGGACCGUGUUGUACCGCUGGCUUACCCCAAACUGAGAAACCAGUCCGCGGUUUGAGAGUGAGGGCUCUGGGGUCCUGCAGGCAUGGAUUCGAAUCCCGAUUUCUUCAGCUGCUAGCUCCGGGACCUCGGACAGAGUUGUGACAGCUGCCUUGUGAUCAUGAAAGUGUGGAGACCAUGGCUGUAGCUCCAGCAACCGUCCUUGUGUGCGAAAGGAAGCAGCGCUGUGCUGCUAGUGUUUUAACAAGUUCUCCGGCGGGAGGGACCCUGAUUUGAAGCAUUUGCCCAUUUCCGUGGUGUAAAUAUGCUCACUGUGGCUGAUAUCAAGCUGCCAACUGGAAGUCACUGAAGAUGGCGUUGGGAAGAGAUGCACACAUGAAGUAGCUGGCUCCAGCCGUGCACUGGUGGCCGUGUGCAACCACAGUAGCAGCCUGGGUCUUUGACACCGUGGAGCCUCCAUAGUAACUCUGAAUUUCCUCCCUCCUGGCUUCCUUCAUGUAAGGGGAAAAUAAACUUCUUGCUUGUUCAAGAACUCUAUUUGGCUUGGCUUGGAACAACAUUGAAAUACAGUCACAUCAUCGGGGAAGAGGCGGUGUGAGGGAGAGAACAUCCUCAUCGACCUUGAUGUUUCAGCUCUCCCAGAAGUGGAAUCUUGAACCAGUCAAUCAGCACUACUAGCGAGGAAACCUGCCUGAUGGACCUCGGCCAUCCCCUGUAGGAAGGUGACCUUGCCACGACUGUUCACUUCUUGCUGAUAUGAAUUCCUUGUUCUGCUCCCUUCUGCCUAUAAAAGCCUUUCAUUUUGUACAGCUCCUCAGAGCUCCUUUCUAUCUGCUAGAGGGGAUGCUGCUCAAUUCAUGAAUUGUUGAAUAAAGCCAAUAAGAUCUUUAAAAUGUACUCAGUUGAAUUUUAUUUGUUUGUUUGUUUAUUUAUUUAUCUAUUUUAGAAAGAUUAGCCCUGAGCUAACAUCCACCACCAAUCCUCCUCUUUUUGCUGAGGAAGAUUGGUCCUGAGCUAACACCUGUACCCAUCUUCCUCUGCUUUAUAUGUGGGAUGCCUGCCACAGCAUGGCUUGACAAGCAGCAUGCACCUGGGAUCCACCGAAGUGGAACAUGUGAACUUAACUGCUGUACCACUGGGCUGGCCCCUGAAUUUUAUUUUUUUUAAUUUUUUUAUCUUAUUUAUUUUUUUUAAGAUUAAAAAAAAAUUUUUUUCUUUCUCCCCAAAGCCUCCUGGUACAUAGCUGUGUAUUUUUAGUUGUGGGUCCUUCCAGCUGUGGCAUGUGGGAUGCUGCCUCAGCGUGGCUUGAUGAGUGGUGCCGUAUCUGUGCCCAGGAUCUGAACCCUCGAAACCCUGGGCCGCUGAAGCGGAGCCUGCAAACUUAACCACCCAGCCAUGGGGCCGGCCACUGAAUUUUAUUUUUUAAUAUAAGUCAAGAAGUAAUAUCUAAAAUUAGUGACUCAAGAGGCAGCAGUGUAUGUCUGUCAUUCAGCAUAUACCCAGUGGAAGAAA